CCGAAAGAGGUGAAGCCGAAGGGAAACCGAGUCUUAAUAGGGCGUAUAGUUGCGUGGGGCAGACGCGAAGCGGGACGAUCUAGUCAUGGCCAGGAUGAAGCGUGGGUAAAACCUCGUGGAGGUCCGAACGGGUGAAGGUUGAAAACUUCUCCGAUGAGCUGUGAUUAGGGGUGAAAGACCAAUCAAGUUCCGGGAUAGCUCGUUCUCCCCGAAAGAUAUUUAGGUGUCGUCUCAGGAAAUUCAAUCGUGAAGGUAGAGCACUGGAAAGGCUAGGGGUCCUACCAGAUUACUAAACCUUACCAAACUCCGAAUGUCACGAAUUGUUAUCUUGGGAAAAAGUUUUUGGGUGCUAAGGUCCAAAGACGAGAGGGAAAGAGCCCAGAUCGACAGCUAAGGUCCUAAAGUUCUAACUAAGUGGUAAAGGAUGUGGGAACGCAUUGACAGCCAGGAGGUUGGCUUAGAAGCAGCCAUCCUUCAACGAAAGCGUAAUAGCUCACUGGUCGAGUGGGCCUGCGCCGAAAAUGUAACGGGGCUAAGUUAGACACCGAAGCUUCGAGUUUGAUAGAAAUACGUUUCUAUUAAGCGGUAGGAGAGCAUCGUAGCGGCACUGAAGAUUGACCGUAAGGACAGUUGGAGCUUCUACGAGAGAGUAUGCCACAAUGAGUAGCGAUAAAAAAUGUGAGAAACAUUUUCGCCGAAAACCCAAGGUUUCCUGGGGUAGGUUAAUCCUCCCAGGGUUAGUCGGGUCCUAAGCUGAGGCCGAAAGGCGUAGGCGAUGGUAAGCGGGUUAAUAUUCCUGCACCUGAUGUUAGUUUUGAAGCGAGCGGGGACGGAGAAGGGCAGCCGAGCCACGGGAUGGAUCGUGGUUUAAGCUAGUAGGCUUGGGGUAUACGAAACCAAAGGUAUCCCAUUUAAGGCUGAGAGGUGAUGACGUGUUUUUCUUUCGGGAAAAACGAAGUCGGUGAUCCCAUGCUUCCAAGAAAAGCCGCGCGUGGAGCGAAACACAAGUUCGUACCGCAAACCGACACAGGUGGGUAGGGUGAGAAUCCCAAGGCGCUUGAGAGAACCCAGCUUAAGGAACUCUGCAAAUU
rnacentral:rRNA from 1 species